UACGGGGGGGGCAAGCGUUGUUCGGAAUUACUGGGCGUAAAGGGCUCGUAGGUGGCCAACUAAGUCAGACGUGAAAUCCCUCGGCUUAACCGGGGAACUGCGUCUGAUACUGGAUGGCUUGAGUGUGGGAGAGGGAUGCGGAAUUCCAGGUGUAGCGGUGAAAUGCGCAGAUAUCGGGAGGAACACCGGUGGCGAAGGCGGUUCUCUGGGCCUGACCUGACGCUGAGGAGCGAAAGCGUGGGGAGCGAACAGG
rnacentral:rRNA from 1 species